AAAAAUAAUUUAAAACGUUCUGACAUGGACAAUGAAGAAAGAACAUGUGCAGUUAGUAUUUGUAAAUUCUUGCUGAGUCAAUAAUGCACUAAUAGAUACAGAUAAGAGUCACACUUGAGAAAUCCCUGACUGCUUUAUGAAGAUGUAAUGGUCUCCAAUUACAUGACUUGGAUGCAGAUAGAUCGAUCUGGAUCAAUAAACAAUCUAAAUGCGUUCUCUCGGCUUUAUAUUCAUAGAUUCAAUAGAUCGCACUUGGAUUGAAGACUAUGAGGAUGAUAACGGCAACAUCUGGACAACUUUUUCCACGUUCAUCACCUUGUUCUUCCUGAGUAUUUUCUAUAGCGCUGCCGUCACUCUGGUGAAGGUUAAGUGAAUGAGUUGUGGACCCCUUUGAUUUUCCUGAUCUGCUUAUCAAGGUCUCUGAAUUCCCAAUCUCCAAUCUGUUCUGUUGCUGACUCUAACAGUGAGAUGACUUCAGUUUAUCAGCGUGUAACUGAGACAAUUAUUGAUGGAUUUUCCUUUUUACUUUGAUAUCUUUGAGAUGGUUGUGGUUGAAAGAAUUUGUAGCUUCCCAGUUGUUUGAAGCCCGUUUGUUUUGUUUUUAUUUGUUCCUUACUCAGAAUGGUUGCCUACCCUUUCUGAUGAGACUUUGUAUUCCCUUUCUUGUGACUGUUACUAAUGUACAGAAAAUUCCCAGCUCACAGCGCAUGUGUUCUCGUCUCAAUGUGGCAUCCAGCCAUUAUAUUCACUUCUGUUAGCUUUUACAUCAACCUUU